ACGCCAGCAAAAUCUGGCGUCGGGAUUAGGAACCCCGGAUAGAGACCGCGACAGACACACGCCGCGAGUGUGUUUUUU
rnacentral:sRNA from 1 species